rnacentral:rRNA from 1 species
AUGCAGGUGCAGCAGCACAGGACGGGGAGGAGAAGGAGCAGGGAGAUCUGGCGGCGGCAGGCGAAGGCGGCGCCAGCCGAGGCCACCUGCAAGCCGGCGGCCAGGUCACCCUCGCCGGCGUUCACGACGAGGCCGCCGACGCCGAGGCCCGCGCCGGAGUGGCGCGACCCGCAGGUCACCACCGUCAUGAUCCGGAACAUCCCCAACAGGCUCAAGCCGGCCGAGAUGAUGCAGUUGCUGGACGACCACUGCGCCCGCGAGAACAGGAAGGAGAAGGCCGGCGACGUGCCCGCCGCCUACGAUUUCCUCUACCUGCCGAUGGAUUUCAGCUUGUGCAGCAACCUGGGGUACGCGUUCGUGAACCUCACGUCGGCCCAGGCGGCGCGGGGGCUCCACUCCGCCCUGCACGGCGCCCGCUGGACGGUGUUCGGCACCAACAAGGGCAUCGACAUCUGCGCCGCGCGUAUCCAGGGCAAGAGGGCGCUGGUGAAGCACUUCAGCAACUCCACCUUCCCGUGCGCCACCGACGACUUCCUCCCCGCCGUCUUCUCGCCGCCGCGCGACGGCGCCGCCGACCCGUCCGUCACCGGCGAGGCCACGCGCGUCGGCACCCGCGUCACUCCCGCCACUCCUCUGCCGGCUACGCCACGGGCGCAGCGGCUGGCAGGCCAGCCCGUGGCCCGUGGGCGUCGCCAGCGCGGGGUCGUGAAGCGGAGCGGUGCAACAAGCUGCGUGUGA